rnacentral:piRNA from 1 species
UUCAACGAAGAGUUCAGGGACACCAAAAGU